AUCUCUCUAGGGUGAAGCUUUGGACUUGUAUAAAAGGCAUGGUGUUUUGACAGAAGGAAAAGGGAAAGUGCAUCUCCUCCUGCCUGUAAUUUAGCAAAGGAAGUUUUGAGCGUGUGGUCCUCUUUUCUUCUGUUAGGAAACAAAGGAAACGCACUGGAAUGGAAUCCAAGAAAAGGAUGAAAAUAAUCAGCUUUCCGACAUCCUGGUUGCCUCUUCUCUUCUAGUUGUCUCAAGGAGCCAAUGAAAAACCGGAAUUGUUAAAACCUGGAUUGAUGCCAGCAUGGAUUAAUGCCAAAAUACAAGUUUGGAAAACUAUUAGAUCAAAAUCUGGGCGUAAAAGAGGAACUUGAACGUGCGUGGAAUCUGGAUGGGAAGGAACCAACUCAACCUUGACACAAGAUUACAUCAUGAAUCUCCAUGAGGAACUCUGGAGAAAAUAUAAACGAUAAAUGACUUUCUAUACAUAGAAUUGAGAUCCCGGGAAAAUGAAAAGAGCCCUGUGAAAUAAUCAAAUGAAGACUUGACUCUCAACAAACACAACAUUUAAAUCCAUAUAAGAAAUGCAAAACAAAACAAAACAGACCGGCCAACUGAGAAAUGGAGUGUCAUAGCCAAGGCGCAAAAGAAAAAAAAAAAAAAAAGGUACAAGGAUAGAAAAGUCUGAAAUAUUUUAUGGUAUAAAUAACUGAAAAUAAUACAGAGGUAAAGAAAGUCCACAUUAAUCAAGCAACCCAUCCCAUCAACCUACAUAGAAAACAAGCCAAACCUGACU